CGGUGGAUGAUGUGGAUUAAUCGAUGCAACGCGAAAACCUUACCUACCCUUGACAUGUCUGGAAUCUUGGUGAGAGCCGAGGGUGCCUUCGGGAGCCGGAACACAGGUGCUACAUGGCUGUCGUCAGCUCGUGUCGUGAGAUGUUGGGUUAAGUCCCGCAACGAGCGCAACCCUUGUCAUUAGUUGCCAUCAUUUGGUUGGGCACUCUAAUGAGACUGCCGGUGACAAACCGGAGGAAGGUGGGGAUGACGUCAAGUCCUCAUGGCCCUUAUGGGUAGGGCUUCACACGUCAUACAAUGGUCGGUACAGAGGGUUGCCAACCCGCGAGGGGGAGCUAAUCCCACAAAGCCGAUCGUAGUCCGGAUCGCAGUCUGCAACUCGACUGCGUGAAGUCGGAAUCGCUAGUAAUCGCGGAUCAGCAUGUCGCGGUGAAUACGUUCCCGGGUCUU
rnacentral:rRNA from 1 species